rnacentral:rRNA from 1 species
AGCGAACGCUGGCGGCAGGCCUAACACAUGCAAGUCGAACGGAUCCUUCAGGAUUAGUGGCGGACGGGUGAGUAACACGUGGGAACGUGCCCUUUGGUUCGGAACAACCCAGGGAAACUUGAGCUAAUACCGGAUGUGCCCUUCGGGGAAAGAUUUAUCGCCAUUGGAGCGGCCCGCGUCUGAUUAGCUAGUUGGUGAGGUAACGGCCCACCAAGGCGACGAUCAGUAGCUGGUCUGAGAGGAUGAUCAGCCACACUGGGACUGAGACACGGCCCAGACUCCUACGGGAGGCAGCAGUGGGGAAUCUUGCGCAAUGGGCGAAAGCCUGACGCAGCCAUGCCGCGUGAAUGAUGAAGGUCUUAGGAUUGUAAAAUUCUUUCAGCGGGGACGAUAAUGACGGUACCCGCAGAAGAAGCUCCGGCUAACUUCGUG